UGGGGAAUAUUGCACAAUGGGCGAAAGCCUGAUGCAGCAACGCCGCGUGAGUGAUGAAGGCCUUCGGGUUGNAAAGCUCUGUCUUUUGGGACGAUAAUGACGGUACCAAAGGAGGAAGCCACGGCUAACUACGUGCCAGCAGCCGCGGUAAUACGUAGGUGGCAAGCGUUGUCCGGAUUUACUGGGCGUAAAGGAUGCGUAGGCGGAUUUUUAAGUGAGAUGUGAAAACCCUAAGCUUAACUUGGGGACUGCAUUUCAUACUGGAAAAUCUAGAGUGCGGGGAGAGGAGAAUGGAAUUCCUAGUGUAGCGGUGAAAUGCGUAGAGAUUAGGAAGAACACCAGUGGCGAAGGCGAUUCUCUGGACCGUAACUGACGCUGAGGCAUGAAAGCGUGGGUAGCAAACAGGAUUAGAUACCCUGGUAGUCCACGCCGUAAACGAUGAGUACUAGGUGUAGGAGGUAUCGACCCCUUCUGUGCCGCAGUUAACACAAUAAGUACUCCGCCUGGGAAGUACGAUCGCAAGAUUAAAACUCAAAUGAA
rnacentral:rRNA from 1 species